rnacentral:rRNA from 1 species
UAGCCCUACGGACGCAGCAGUGAGGAAUAUUGGUCAAUGGCCGGAAGGCUGGACCAGCCAAGCCGCGUGAGGGAGGAAGGCGCAGAGCGUCGCAGACCUCUUUUGCCGGGGGACAAAAGGCCGGACUCGUCCGGUCCUGAGGGUACCCGGAGAAAAAGCAUCGGCUAACUCCGUGCCAGCAGCCGCGGUAAUACGGAGGAUGCGAGCGUUAUCCGGAUUCAUUGGGUUUAAAGGGUGCGCAGGCGGGCCUUUAAGCCGGCGGUGAA